GCUCCCUGAGAUUAGCGGCGGACGGGUGAGUAACACGUGGGCAACCUGCCUAUAAGACUGGGAUAACUUCGGGAAACCGGAGCUAAUACCGGAUACGUUCUUUUCUCGCAUGAGAGAAGAUGGAAAGACGGCCUCUAGCUGUCACUUAUAGAUGGGCCCGCGGCGCAUUAGCUAGUUGGUGAGGUAAUGGCUCACCAAGGCGACAAUGCGUACCCAACCUGAGAGGGUGAUCGGCCACACGGGGACUGAAACACGGCCCAAACUCCUACGGGAGGCAGCAGUAGGGAAUCUUCCGCAAUGGACAAAAGUCUGACGGACCACCCCCGCGUGAACAAAAAAGGCCUUCGGGUCGUAAAGUUCUGUUGUUAGGGAAAAACAAGUCCCAAAGUACCUGCGGGUCCCUUGACGGUCCCUAACCAAAAAGCCACGGCUAACUACGUGCCAGCAGCCGCGGUAAUACGUAGGUGGCAAGCGUUGUCCGGAAUUAUGGGGCGUAAAGCGCGCGCAGGUGGUUCUUUAAGUCUGAUGUGAAACCCCACGGCUCACCCGUGGAGGGUCAUUGGAAACUGGGGAACUUGAGUGCAAAGAGGAAAGUGGAUUCAAGUGUAGCGGUGAAUGCGUAGAGUUUGGAGGAACCCAGUGGCAAGGCGACUUUUGGUCUGAACUGACCUGAGGCCGAAGCGGGGGAGAAACAGGAUAAAACCCUGGUGUCCCGCCGUAACGAGAUGCUAGUGUAGAGGGUUCCCCCUUUAUGCUGCACUAACCAUAAGCCUCCCCUGGGAUACGCCGCAGGCUGAACUCAAGGAUUGACGGGGCCGCACAGCGGGGACAUGGGUUUAUUCGAGCACGC
rnacentral:rRNA from 1 species